AAUUGAUUAACAGGUCCUUUUCCAGAAAUGGUAGUGGUAAUUUGAUUACUGUGUUCAGAGCCAGAGUUGGAAAGGAAUGUGAGGAAUGUCCAUGGAUGGAUGGCAUAGAGAUAGCCAGAAAGUGAGGUUGGGCAGACCUAGUACCAGGCAAGCUAGGGUGAAUGGUCACCAAUCAGAGUCUUAGGGUCCCCAGGGUGGGAAAUUGAGUGCCAUCAUGGGGAGAAGUCUGGAGUAGCAGGCAGCAUGGCAUGGAGAAUUGCAUGAAGUACAUUUUUCUUCUUUUUUGUCUUUUUUCUUUUAGGGCAUUGACACAAGAUUUUUAAAGGCAUAGAUAUUUUUGCAACUAAAAGUAUACUAUGUCUUGGCCCUUGUCCCUGUGCUGGAUGAAAUUCAGAUGAGGAUGGCAUCUAACCUGUGGGUCAGAGGUUUGUCAAAGCCUUGCUCUAAGAAGACUCACCUUUUUUAGGCUGCUACUAUAUAUGCGUGCCCAUGUAAUGGUAAUCCUUAGACUUCCUUCACAUGGAGAGUGUGAAGAAUUUACAAUUGGGUCUUUGCAAAGCAGGCCUGUGACACUUACUACCCAGGGUGUCAGUAAAGGCGAGUUACCCUUCCUGGAAGAACUUUGA
rnacentral:lncRNA from 1 species